rnacentral:rRNA from 1 species
UACGUAGGGACCAAGCGUUGUUCGGAUUUACUGGGCGUAAAGGGCGCGUAGGCGGCGCGGUAAGUCACUUGUGAAAUCUCUGAGCUUAACUCAGAACGGCCAAGUGAUACUGCAGUGCUAGAGUGUGGAAGGGGCAAUCGGAAUUCUUGGUGUAGCGGUGAAAUGCGUAGAUAUCAAGAGGAACACCUGAGGUGAAGACGGGUUGCUGGGCCGACACUGACGCUGAGGCGCGAAAGCCAGGGGAGCAAACGGG